UACGGGGGGGGCUAGCGUUGUUCGGAAUUACUGGGCGUAAAGCGCGCGUAGGCGGGUCACUAAGUCAGGGGUGAAAUCCCGAGGCUUAACCUCGGAACUGCCUUUGAUACUGGUGACCUGGAGAUCGGGAGAGGUUGGUGGAAUUCCGAGUGUAGAGGUGAAAUUCGUAGAUAUUCGCAAGAACACCAGUGGCGAAGGCGGCCAACUGGUCCGGUACUGACGCUGAGGUGCGAAAGCGUGGGGAGCAAACAGG
rnacentral:rRNA from 1 species